UUGACUUACAAAUGAGAAUCACUAUGAUUAUCACAACCGAUCGCGAGAUCGGUUGGAUUUUCUGGAGGGCCCUGGUUCGGACUCUCCGAUUAUCUCCUCAUCAGGCUAAUCACGGUUAUUGACCCGGCUUUUUUUGCCGGGUCUUUUUUUG
rnacentral:sRNA from 1 species